GGUUCGAAAGACUGACGGCUUAAUGCCAGAUGAGUGUGGUUCGACGGCGCACCUAAGCGCCAGCGAUCUGGAAACAGGCGCAGACUCGCACCUGCCAGGCCGAGAUCGCGCGCCCAGCGGUGAAAGCGCAUCA
rnacentral:misc_RNA from 1 species